UUCCACGACGGGGACAUUGGUUUCCGGGCGGGAGUUGAUCACGAAUUUGUGAGAAGACCUUAGCAGCUACGGGUAUAUUACAGGCAACUGCUAUGUAUAGUGGCAUCCAGAAGCGAACGCAACCCGCGUCUGCGUGUGCGUGGGUCGCAGUUCGCCGCUUCUGCGCAUGCGCGUGACAGCAUUUUGACCAU